AGGGAUACUCACUCCAUCGCGGGGUUCCGGGCCGCCCAGACGCACUACUGCGGGGUUCACCCGCGUUGCUCGCCUCUACCCGAGCCGAGCGCUCUGGCCGCGCCGCGCGAGGUGGAGCCGGCAGCCGUCUCCCCUCCCCGCUCGCACCCCCUCCUCCUGAGGGUUGAAAGUGAACGCUCAGGCUCUCUCCGCUCCCAGCCUGCGAAUAAAACGCAUCAAGUGCCUUGCUGACCACUACCUCUGCCUCUGAAGCCCAUCAACCAGCCAUGGACCUUGGGCUAAGUUCUUCCGGUCUGCACUUUACGACUCGCUUCUUUCACUCUUUGAAGAAGUAUGUGGCCAUGUUGGAGAGGCCCACAUGGCAAAGAAUGGAGGGCAGCCUUCAGUCAACAGUCAGGAAGGAUCUGCAGCCUUCAGUCAAAGCAGUACUCCAGGAAGCGAAUUCAGCCAACAACCGGAAUGAGCUUGGAAGUGGAUCCUUCUCCAGCUGAGCUUUCAGAAGAGACUGCAGCCCCAACUAACAACUUGAUUGCCGUUUUAUGAGUGAUCCUAAAGAGGAUUCAGCUAAGCUAUGCUGGAACUCUUGACCCACAGAAACGGUGAGAUAAUAAAUGUGUGUUGUU